AGUGAACGCUGGCGGUAGGCCUAACACAUGCAAGUCGAACGGCAGCACAGUAAGAGCUUGCUCUUACGGGUGGCGAGUGGCGGACGGGUGAGGAAUACAUCGGAAUCUACUUUUUCGUGGGGGGUAACGUAGGGAAACUUACGCUAAUACCGCAUACGACCUACGGGUGAAGGCAGGGGAUCUUCGGACCUUGCGCGAUUGAAUGAGCCGAUGUCGGAUUAGCUAGUUGGCGGGGUAAAGGCCCACCAAGGCGACGAUCCGUAGCUGGUCUGAGAGGAUGAUCAGCCACACUGGAACUGAGACACGGUCCAGACUCCUACGGGAGGCAGCAGUGGGGAAUAUUGGACAAUGGGCGCAAGCCUGAUCCAGCCAUACCGCGUGGGUGAAGAAGGCCUUCGGGUUGUAAAGCCCUUUUGUUGGGAAAGAAAAGCAGCAGGUUAAUACCCCGCUGUUCUGACGGUACCCAAAGAAUAAGCACCGGCUAACUUCGUG
rnacentral:rRNA from 1 species